UUUGUAGGGGAUAUGAACAUCGGGCCAAUUUCAAAAUGCAGGCAAUCCUCAUUUUCCAUCUUUAACCAGUCUGGUUGCUGAUCCAUAUCUUCCAACCAAAAGUUCAUAUUUUUAAUAUUCACUGCCCAAAAGUAAA